ensembl:rRNA 5S_rRNA 5S ribosomal RNA
GUCUAUGGCCAUACCACCCUGAACAUGCCCAAUUUCAUCUGAUCUCAGAAGCUAAGCGGGGUACAGCUUAGUACUUGGAUAGGAAACCACCUAGAAAUUCCAGUUGUUGUUGUCA